rnacentral:lncRNA from 1 species
UUCUGGGCAUUGAUCCCAAAACCAUCAUGAUUAUUCAAAAUAGCUUGCGCAAUCGAAACAGCAUCAUUGGAGAACUUACCUGCGUGAAGCUUCUGGCGGGCAUCAUUGGGAGCUAACAAAGAAUCCCGUAAAAAGGAGAACUCUUCAUUAGUAAAAUAGUCAACCCGAGAAUUAUCGGAUGUAGAUGGGUCCUCCGGAUCCACCAAUCCGUGAAGAUUAUCAGAGGAAGAGGUAGAGAUGAAUCUGGAGGGGAAUACAGGAUUUUUGAGUGAAUGAGAGAGAAUGAUGAAUGAUAAUCUUUUUGUCAUUUGGUAAUUUUAAUUUUGAUUUAGUCAUUCACUCACUUACUCACUCAGGGUUUAAGGUGGGAGGGAGGGUUUAGAGAGACUUGUGCCUGCCUGCACGCAACACAAUUUGCGUCCUUUCCGAACCUUUGGACAAAGGGUCAAUUUGCC